UACGAACUGUGCGAACGUUAUUCGGAAUCACUGGGCUUACAGGGUGCGUAGGCGGCUUGUUAAGUAGGGUGUGAAAUCCCCCGGCCCAACCGGGGAAUGGCGCUCUAAACUAGCAGGCUUGAGUGAGCUAGGGGUACACGGAACUUCCAGUGGAGCGGUGAAAUGUGUUGAUAUUGGAAGGAACACCGGAGGUGAAAGCGGUGUACUGGGGCUCAACUGACGCUGAGGCACGAAAGCCAGGGGAGCGAACGGG
rnacentral:rRNA from 1 species